rnacentral:rRNA from 1 species
UACAGGGGGGGCAAGCGUUUGUUCGGAAUUACUGGGCGUAAAGGGCGCGUAGGCGGCCAACUAAGUCACACGUGAAAUCCCCAGGCUUAACCUGGGAACUGCGUGUGAUACUGGAUGGCUUGAAUUCGGGAGAGGGAUGCGGAAUUCCAGGUGUAGCGGUGAAAUGCGUAGAUAUCUGGAGGAACACCGGUGGCGAAGGCGGCAUCCUGGACCGACAUUGACGCUGAGGCGCGAAAGCGUGGGGAGCAAACAGG